GAUGAACGCUGGCGGCGUGCCUAAUACAUGCAAGUCGAGCGAACAGAUGAGGAGCUUGCUCCUCUGACGUUAGCGGCGGACGGGUGAGUAACACGUGGAUAACCUACCUAUAAGACUGGGAUAACUUCGGGAAACCGGAGCUAAUACCGGAUAAUAUAUUGAACCGCAUGGUUCAAUAGUGAAAGACGGUUUUGCUGUCACUUAUAGAUGGAUCCGCGCCGCAUUAGCUAGUUGGUAAGGUAACGGCUUACCAAGGCAACGAUGCGUAGCCGACCUGUGAGGGUGAUCGGCCACACUGGAACUGAGACACGGUCCAGACUCCUACGGGAGGCAGCAGUAGGGAAUCUUCCGCAGUGGGCGAAAGCCUGACGGAGCAACGCCGCGUGAGUGAUGAAGGUCUUCGGAUCGUAAAACUCUGUUAUUAGAGAAGAACAAAUGUGUAAGUAACUAUGCACGUCUUGACGGUACCUAAUCAGAAAGCCACGGCUAACUACGUG
rnacentral:rRNA from 1 species